UACGUAGGGGGCAAGCGUUGUCCGGAUUUAUUGGGCGUAGAGAGCGUGUAGGCGGCCAGGUAGGUCCGUUGUGAAAACUGGAGGCUUAACCUCCAGCUGUCGAUGGAAACCAUCUGGCUAGAGUCCGGAAGAGGAGAGUGGAAUUCCUGGUGUAGCGGUGAAAUGCGCAGAUAUCAGGAAGAACACCCGUGGCGAAGGCGGCUCUCUGGGACGGUACUGACGCUGAGACGCGAAAGCGUGGGGAGCGAACAGG
rnacentral:rRNA from 1 species